UUCAAGAGCCCAACUAAAGUAAACACUGAUCUCCAUCAUGGUAGUGAAAAAAAACACCUAAACCUAUUUAACUCUCCAUAAGUUCUUCUGUAGACAUCUGACAGAAAUAAAGUCAGUCUGGUUAGUAAUGUGAAUCUGGUGAAGCUGUUUUAGUAGUUGUUUAAUCAGAUCUUGAGAGAUUUGAUGUAUUCUUUUAUUCAGUUGAUUUCAUUUAAGGCUGUGGCUGAAGUCAUUUGUAGAUCUUGUGUUUCUCUUUCCUUCAGUGAUUCUGCAGGUGUUUAUCACUAAUGCUCAAUCAUCAAUUAAUCACCGAAUUAUCUCAUUAACUUCACUGAUUCAGUGUUACUCUAACACUCUGUAGUGUGCACACAUUAUAAGUGUUCAUUUAAAACUGAGGAUUUUCUUGUGGGGUUUAAAGGGUUAAAGAUUUAAGAUGAAGAAAAAAACAGAAUGAAACAUAAUUUAACAGUAAUAAACUGUAAUUAAUUUACAGGAAACAAACUGUAGAAAAACAGUUAU